rnacentral:lncRNA from 1 species
CGAUCCAAGCUAAACGGCGAUCUUAGCUGUCGUGGCCAAAAAGAUUCACCUGGUAAAAAGGUCCGUCGUUCGUUCCGUUCACUUGUUGGGUUAAAGCAUGAUUUUCUAAGAAGAAGCAGAUUGGGCACCGGCAAUUUAAAGAACAUAAAAUAAUAUUAUUUUACAGAAAAAAGAAGAAGUGAGUAUUACUCAAAAAUAAGUUACAACUUACAACCGUCCUCACACAAGUUUAAAUAUCGUCAGA